AAAAUACUCUCUCCGUCCAACAAAAGAUGUCUCAAGUUUGUCAAAAUUUGGAUGUAUCUAGACAUGACUUAGUGUAUAGAUACAUUCAAAUUUAGUCAAAGUUGAGACAUGGACGGAGAGAGUAACAA
rfam:Brachypodium distachyon strain Bd21 chromosome 5, whole genome shotgun sequence.